GACGAACGCUGGCGGCAUGCUUAACACAUGCAAGUCGAACGGCAAGGCCCGGCUUCUGGGUGGUGGUCGGGUGGCGAACGGGUGAGUAACACGUGCGUAACCUACCCUUGCCUUUGAGAUAACUUCAGGAAACUGGGGCUAAUACCGGCUAGGAAUUCCCGCUACAUGGUGGGGGUUGGAAAGUUUCGGCGGUUGGUAAUGGACUCGCGGCCUAUCCGCUUGCUUGUUGGGUAGUUGCUUACCAAGGCAUUGAAGGGUGGCCGCCCGGAGAGGGGGACCGGCCACAUUGGCACUGGGAUACGGCCCGGACCCCUACGGGAGGCAGGAGUGGGGAAGAGUGCACGAUGGGCGGAAGCCUGGUGAAGCAAGGCCGCGUGCGGGAUGACGGCCUUCGGGUUGUAAAGCGCAUCCGCCUUUGACGAAGCGUGAGUGACGGUAACGGGUGAAGAAGCACCGGCUAACUACGUG
rnacentral:rRNA from 1 species